rnacentral:lncRNA from 1 species
GAAACCGAAGUCUAUCAUAAAUUCUUGGAUGUUGCGACUGCAAAAAGGACUAAUACAUAGUGUCGGUUCAAAGUUUGGUUGAGUGGAAGCAAGCAAGAGGCUUAGGACAUGACACAUUGACACCUCCUGGCUCCAAGGGCCUCCCACCAUGUCCUUGUGAGAAUGAUGGUUCAUGGUUGUUGUGCUAACCAUGAGUCCAUGAUGCUAGCAACGGUUGAUGAUCUAGCAUGGGUGUUCAAGUGAACAUAUUUUUUUAUUUUUGCAAAGUUCCCAUGAUGAUAUUAGAUAUAUAUUUGGUAUACAAGUUUAAAUUGGGUCAAAAUAACUGAAUCAUUGUUCUCCUCUACUCCUUUCAAUUUCACCACCGCCUGCCCCCCGAGUCUAACCACCCAAUGCUAACUUCCCAUAACCAAUCCUAUAGUAUGAGGGUUCGUGUUACCUUCCUUCCU